UCGUUGGUGAACAAUUCGCGAAGUUCUAUUGUACUUGUACCUAUUGAUAUUUUCCUGUGCUACUUUUUUCCUACCUACUUUGUUAGAAUUUGUAACUUACAAGUUCAGGCCCUACUUCCCCGUUUUUGCGUGGAUAUUCAACUGGUAAAACUUCCAGAACCAUUAUGUGUUUUGGAUAAAGCCGAAAUGAUAAAAAGUUUGUGGAUAAUGUGUUAGAUGCUGAUCGACUUUGUGUGUAACUCAUACUAAGAGAUGCAAGCAACAAUAGGUAACAAGUCUCCUGAUGAAUGUUCCAGUCCGAGAGUUGGAAGCAAUGUGUCUGUAUAAGUUGUGGAAUAUCUUUGGGAAGGCAUACAAGAAGACAAAAUCACAGGCCAUAAGCUUAGGGAAAGAAAUGAAGAGUGACAUUAUAUAGAAAAACAAAAAUAUCUCCGAGACAGAUUCCUGAUGGAUGCUCAUGUAUGCGUUGUUUGCACGAUGAGCUCACCUCAAAAGUAUUAAUAUCUAGUGAACAUAAGAGCUGUGUUAAGUGUGACGUUCCGUUGCAUUGUAUGUAGUUAGUAGCUAUUUAUGUUCAUAAAUGUUGUUAAACUACGAGCUUAAAUCACUUUAUAAUUUAUAUUAUCAUAUUAUUAAAUAGUUCAAUAAGUAAAUAGUUAAAUAAGCUAGUUAGGCACAUAACCCAUAUAUUUUAAUGUUAUUGUCAAGUUUAUUCUAUACCUACUUACUAAUAUGUUACCAUAUUAAGUUCCCUGACAUGAUUUAUGUAAUGACUAUGUACUAACAUCAGUAAGUAGUAACUGGGACCAGCAGCUUAACAUGCCAUUCGAAGCAUAGAUUAUCUUACUUCAGGCAAUCGGUUGAUCAGCCAGCCAUCUAACCAAACUGGACCACGGAGGCCGAGAGUACUUGGUUAAGUUGCUGUUUUAUUUCAACUAUUUAAUUAAAUGUAGAAAUAUUUUGUGUGGUUGCACCUACUUGUGAUAUUUUAAAUAUA